rnacentral:ribozyme from 11 species
CUGCAUAAGCAUGACCUGAAGCAAGGCCAAGAAGGCAGGAAAGGCCAGAAUCCCCCGCCAGUACCACGAGUUGAUGCCCGCGAGCAGGUCGUGGGGGCCUGUGGGCGGUGGGCCCUGAGGAAUGCCGAUGAC